rnacentral:rRNA from 1 species
CAAUAGCGUAUAUUAAAGUUGUUGCAGUUAAAAAGCUCGUAGUUGGACCUUGGACCUGGACAGGCGGUCCGCCUCACGGCGUGUACUGUCUUGCUGGGUCUUUCCUCUUGGUGAUCUGUUGUUUCGGCAGCAGGGAACCAGGACUUUUACUUUGAAAAAAUUAGAGUGUUCAAAGCAGGCUCGACGCCGGAAUAUAUUAGCAUGGAAUAAUAAAAUAGGACGUGCGGUUCUAUUUUGUUGGUUUUUGGAAUCGCCGUAAUGAUUAAUAGGGACAGUCGGGGGCAUUAGUAGUCACAUGCUAGAGGUGAAAUUCUUGGAUUUUGUGAAGACUAACUUCUGCGAAAGCAUUUGCCAAGGAUGUUUUCAUUAA